GUUGAACGCUGACAGCAUGCUUAACACAUGCAAGUCAACUUGCGGCGGACGGGUGAGUAACGCGUAUAUAACUUGCCUCCCAGGUAGGGACAACAUCUGGAAACGAAUGCUAAUACCUAAUCCUGUGAGAUAGCUCUGCGUCCAAUUAGCUAGUUGGUGAGGUAACGGCUCACCUAGGCGAGGAUGGGUAGCCGGCCUGGGAGGGUGAUCGGGCACAAGGGGACUGGGACACGGCCCUUACUCCUACGGGAGGCAGCGGUGGAGGAUAUUGGACGAUGGGCCAAAGUAUGAACAAGCAAUUAUGUGUGUACGAUGAAGUUGUCGGAAUGUAAAGUGCUUUGAGAUGGGAAGCGGUACCAACAGAAGAAGUGACGGCUAAAUACGUGCCAGCAGCCGCGGUAAUAC
rnacentral:rRNA from 1 species